rnacentral:rRNA from 1 species
AGAGUUUGAUCCUGGCUCAGAUUGAACGCUGGCGGCAUGCCUUACACAUGCAAGUCGAACGGCAGCACGGACUUCGGUCUGGUGGCGAGUGGCGAACGGGUGAGUAAUAUAUCGGAACAUACCCAGUAGUGGGGGAUAACUAUCCGAAAGGAUAGCUAAUACCGCAUACGAUCUGUGGAUGAAAGCAGGGGAUCUUCGGACCUUGUGCUAUUGGAAUGGCCGAUAUCUGAUUAGCUAGUUGGUAGGGUAAAAGCCUACCAAGGCGACGAUCAGUAGCUGGUCUGAGAGGACGACCAGCCACACUGGAACUGAGACACGGUCCAGACUCCUACGGGAGGCAGCAGUGGGGAAUUUUGGACAAUGGGGGCAACCCUGAUCCAGCAAUGCCGCGUGAGUGAAGAAGGCCCUCGGGUUGUAAAGCUCUUUUGUCAGGGAAGAAACGGAGUUCUCUAAUAUAGGAUUCUAAUGACGGUACCUGAAGAAUAAGCACCGGCUAACUACGUGCCAGCAGCCGCGGUAAUACGUAGGGUGCAAGCGUUAAUCGGAAUUACUGGGCGUAAAGCGUGCGCAGGCGGUUUUGUAAGUCUGAUGUGAAAUCCCCGGGCUCAACCUGGGAACUGCAUUGGAGACUGCAAGGCUAGAGUGUGUCAGAGGGGGGUAGAAUUCCACGUGUAGCAGUGAAAUGCGUAGAGAUGUGGAGGAAUACCGAUGGCGAAGGCAGCCCCCUGGGAUAACACUGACGCUCAUGCACGAAAGCGUGGGGAGCAAACAGGAUUAGAUACCCUGGUAGUCCACGCCCUAAACGAUGUCUACUAGUUGUCGGGACUUAAUUGUCUUGGUAACGCAGCUAACGCGUGAAGUAGACCGCCUGGGGAGUACGGUCGCAAGAUUAAAACUCAAAGGAAUUGACGGGGACCCGCACAAG